rnacentral:rRNA from 1 species
GAUCUGGCUCAGGAUGAACGCUAGCUACAGGCUUAACACAUGCAAGUCGAGGGGCAGCAUGGACCCAGCUUUGCUGGGUUUGAUGGCGACCGGCGCACGGGUGAGUAACGCGUAUCCAACCUGCCCUUUACUCCGGGAUAGUCUCCUGAAAGGGAGUUUAAUACCGGAUGUGUUUGUCCUUCCGCAUGGGAGCGACAAAUAAAGAUUGAUUGGUAAAGGAUGGGGAUGCGUCCCAUUAGCUUGUUGG